GGAGUUUGGUUACUUGGAAAAUGUUGGAAAAGGAAAAGGUUUGGUGAUAUCUUUUGAUUUUUAUGUGAAGUUUCUAUAUUUUUUCUUUCCCAUUUCCAUGUCUGGCAAAUUUUUAAGUAACAAGCAAAGGGUGUCUUCUGAUUAAAUUUUUGUAGAAUUUGACAUUGAAUUGUGUUAAUUUCUUGGGUUGAUUUGUGGAUGAAUUGUAUGCCUUGUGACUUUGAGCUCAGCACAUCAUGUAACAUGGAUGUGAUGGGCAAACUUUUGGUUAACAUACUUUAUAUGUCUCAGUAUGUGCAUUCAUUUUUUUUGGUUUGUAUAAUGUAUAGAAGCCAUUGUAUAGUGCAAUGAUGAGAGUCUUGGGCUUGUUAUGGGUUUGGCGUGCGAGAGAGCUGCUUUGAGUGGAAAUGCAGGGGAUUUGACUAUCUUUAGACUUCCCUCUCUGUAAAACAAGAACUGGAUAAAACCUUUUUCUUUGUCUUGGGUUGGGUGUUGCGAAGUUUAGAAUGCUUGCCAAUGAUAGAAGAAUA
rnacentral:misc_RNA from 1 species